GCCGGAAUAGUUCAGUUGGUA
rnacentral:tRNA from 1 species